CAGCAGCCACGGGAAUACGGAGGGUGCAAGCGUUAAUCGGAAUUACUGGGCGUAAAGCGCACGCAGGCGGUCUGUCAAGUCAGAUGUGAAAUCCCCGGGCUUAACCUGGGAACUGCAUUUGAAACUGGCAGGCUAGAGCCUUGUAGAGGGGGGUAGAAUUCCAGGUGUAGCGGUGAAAUGCGUAGAGAUCUGGAGGAAUACCGGUGGCGAAGGCGGCCCCCUGGACAAAGACUGACGCUCAUGCGCGAAAGCGUGGGGAGCAAACAGGAUUAGAUACCCCGGUAGUCCCUGUCUCUUAUAC
rnacentral:rRNA from 1 species